rnacentral:rRNA from 1 species
ACGGGUGCUUAACACGUGGGCAACCUGCCAAGAAGUGGGGGAUAGCUCGCCGAAAGGCGAAUUAAUACCGCAUGUGAUCAGAGUGGACAUCCAUUCAAAAUCAAAGUCGGGGCUACCUGACGCUUCUUGAGGGGCCCGCGGCCUAUCAGCUAGUUGGUGGGGUAACGGCCCACCAAGGCUUAGACGGGUAGCUGGUCUGAGAGGACGACCAGCCACACUGGGACUGAGACACGGCCCAGACACCUACGGGUGGCAGCAGUCGAGAAUUUUUCUCAAUGGGGGAAACCCUGAAGGAGCGACGCCGCGUGGAGGAUGAAGGUCUUCGGAUUGUAAACUCCUGUCAUUGGGGAACAAUGCGCAAAUAUUAACUGUAUUUGCGUUGAUAGUACCCGAAGAGGAAGAGACGGCUAACUCUGUGCCAGCAGCCGCGGUAAUACAGAGGUCUCAAGCGUUGUUCGGAUUCAUUGGGCGUAAAGGGUGCGUAGGCGGCGCGGUAAGUCGGGUGUGAAAUCUCGGAGCUUAACUCCGAAACUGCAUUCGAUACUGCCGUGCUUGAGGACUGGAGAGGAGACUG